UCAAUUUAAUUUGAAUGAAUAAAUUUAUUAUUUAUUAAAAUGUUGUUUUUAUUAUUAAUUAAAAUAAUAUGUUUUUUAUUAUAUGAAUAGAAAAAAUGAUUUUUUAUUAUAGUUAAUUAGUAUUGUGAAAGAACGUUGUUAUAUGUAUAAAAGAAGAAUUCAUUUUUCGUACCUUGUGUAUCAGGGUUGAUUAAAUAAAAAUUUAGUAUUAAAUAUUCUCGAAUUUAAAAGAGCUAAUUUACUAUAUUUAUUAUUGUGGAAUAACUAUUAUACAUAGUAAAUUUGAAAUGAAACGUUAUUCGUUUUUGAAUAUAUCUAGUUUUUUAAGAAAAAAAUUGAAUUUGUUAAUUAAAUAUUAUAAAUUUAUCUUUUUAAAUUUAUUUUAUUAAUUGGUUAUACUUUAAGGGAUAAGCUUUAAAGUAAAUUUUUAUAAAUUAAUUAAUUAUUUAUAUUAAAUGUAGGAUUAGAAUUUUUUAUCAUUAAAAAAAUGUUAUAAUUUAUUAUAUGCUUAAUAUUAUUUGUAUUAAUUUUAAUUUUUAUAUUAAAAUAUACUUUUAAAUAGGAAAUAAGUAGAAAUUAUGAUUAAAUUAGUAUAAUUAUAUUUACAAUUAAAUUGAUUUAUUAAGGUUUUUAAAAGGAACUCGGCAAAUUAUUUUUUUACCUGUUUAUUAAAAACAUGUCCUUUUGAUAUUUAUAUAAGGUCUGGCCUGCCCAAUGAAUUAUUUUAAAUGGCCGCGGUAUUUUGACCGUGCAAAGGUAGCAUAAUCAUUAGUUUUUUAAUUGAAAGCUGGAAUGAAAGGUCGGAUAAGAAAAAUACUGUCUCUUAAAAAUUUUAUUAGAACUUUAUCUUUAAGUAAAAAAGCUUAAAUGUUAUUUAAAGACGAGAAGACCCUUUAGAGUUUUAUAUAAUGUUUUAUAUCAUUUUCUUUAGUAUUAAUAUAAUUUGAUAUUUAAUUUAUAUUUGGUUGGGGUGAUUGAAAAAUUUAAUAAACUUUUUUUAUUAUAUUACAUUAAUUUAUGAUUAAAUGAUCCAUAUAGUUAUGAUUAUAAGAUUAAAUUACCUAAGGGAUAACAGCGUUAUUUUUUUCAAGAGUUCAAAUCGAAAAAAAAGAUUGCGACCUCGAUGUUGGAUUAAAAUUAAAUUAUGGUGCAGGAGCUAUAACUUUGGGUCUGUUCGACCUUUAAAAUUUUACAUGAUCUGAGUUUAAACCGGCGUGAGCCAGGUUGGUUUCUAUCUUAAAUAAGCUUUAAUAUUUUAGUACGAAAGGACCAGAUAUUAAAUUAAUAAUUUUUAAUUUGAAUAUGAUUAAUUAUUUUGGCAGAUUAGUGCAAUAGAUUUAGAAUCUAUUUAUGUAAUUUUUAUUACAAAUAA
rnacentral:rRNA from 1 species